AUACGGAGGGUCCAAGCGUUAUCCGGAAUCAUUGGGUUUAAAGGGUUCGCAGGCGGUCAAUUAAGUCAGAGGUGAAAGCCCAUCGCUCAACGAUGGAACUGCCUUUGAUACUGGUUGACUUGAGUUAUACGGAAGUAGAUAGAAUAAGUAGUGUAGCGGUGAAAUGCAUAGAUAUUACUUAGAAUACCGAUUGCGAAGGCAGUCUACUACGUAUAUACUGACGCUGAGGGACGAAAGCGUGGGGAGCGAACAGGAUUAGAUACCCUAGUAGUCC
rnacentral:rRNA from 1 species